UUUUAUUUGAGAGUUUGAUCCUGGCUCAGGAUGAACGCUGGCGGCGUGCCUAACACAUGCAAGUUGAGCGAUUUACUUCGGUAAAGAGCGGCGGACGGGUGAGUAACGCGUGGGUAACCUCCCCUGUACACACGGAUAACAUACCGAAAGGUAUGCUAAUACGGGAUAAUAUAUUUGAGAGGCAUCUCUUGAAUAUCAAAGGUGAGCCAGUACAGGAUGGACCCGCGUCUGAUUAGCUAGUUGGUAAGGUAACGGCUUACCAAGGCGACGA
rnacentral:rRNA from 1 species